rfam:Schistosoma mansoni strain Puerto Rico chromosome 3, complete genome
GCACUGCUGAGGAGUCCCAUAAUAGGACGAAACGACUGUCCAGUGC